GCUAAGCGAGCUGAUUUUUUUGUAUAUUUCUUUUUCUGUAUGGGGGCAACUGAUACUGGUGCAGGUUGGUCCGCUGGUUCAGUUGCAGUACCACUUGCUGGGUCUUGGAUAACCGCAGUGUCUGUUGCCAAGGUUUGGGCAGCUGCCGUGCUCAUUGCCGAGGCUGGAGGGGCUGCAGUGCCUGUCGCUGAGGUUUGGGUGCUUUCUGCCAGAGGCUCCAGGUAGGAGUAGUGCAUACCUAAAGUGCAUCAACUUCAUAUGAACAAGGAAAAAAGCCUUUAACAUGCAGAUAAGAAGUAUUUGGAAAGUGCCAGAAGUACAAGAGCACUCAUGGAAGCCUCAUUAAGAUUGAUCCACUUUCAUACAAGAGUAACAGUACAAACAGUUUUAAGAAAAUCCUACGGAUACUGAAAAUAAUUUUAUGGGGAAAAGCUUCUGUUGUUAGAAGGUAUAGCAGUUAAAUAAAGGUUAUCAGAAAAACACAGGGCCAGAAUGGAUACUG